rfam:Erysipelothrix larvae strain LV19 chromosome, complete genome.
UACAUCGUGAGGUGUGGGAGAGAGGAAGCAAUCGCGAAAUCGUGGCUUGACGGACAGAAACUAGGUACAAGGCUUUUUGAACGGGUAAGUUAGCCAAAGGUAACAAAGCCCAAAAGAUAGACGUAAGUUCAAGGUGCAAACCUAGCUAGUAAACAAGACAAAGAUAUAUGA